AUCUACCAAAAAUUUAGAAAAGAGCAGGGAAAAAUAUAAAUUUACAAGAAUAGUGGAAUUUGGUGACCAUCAGGGGUGUGGCAACUGGUCAGUCGAAUCGACACACCCUUCCGUUGUCAGAAACAAAUCCGUUUCAAACCCUAGAACGGUUUCCUUCUCAGUUUGAAGUCUCCGAUGAUGAAAAUAGUCAAUAAAUCAACGCUGAAAGCGUGCACCGCCGGCCAACUAAGAGACGGCGCAUCGAACGAAGUGGCGGGCGAUGUGAGGAGUGAGAAGAACGUUGGGAAAGAGAAGAGGAAGAAGAAGCAGAUGAAGAAGAAGAAGAAGAAGACGAAGGUGGUGGAAAACCCAGUUAAAAUUUUUGUGGUUGCUAAAGAAGAGAAGGUCGAGACAAGCCAAGUCUUGGAGAUUGCAGCGGCAAAUCGUGUCGAGAUAUCUGAUAACAUUGUGCUGCGGAAGCUACUUCGAGGCCCAAGGUAUUUUGAUCCCCAGGACAGUGGUUGGCGAACAUGCUAUAAUUGUGGUGAAGGUGGUCAUACAACUGUGAACUGUUCCUCUGUUAAGCGGAAGAAGCCGUGCUUUGUUUGUGGGAGUUUGGAACACCAUGCCAAGCAGUGCAAAAAGCGACGAGAUUGCUUUAUCUGUGAGAAAGGCGGCCACCGUGCAAAAAAUUGCCCAGAAAAACACAAAUGGGGAUCUCAGACUUCUAAGAAAUGCUUGAAAUGUGGAGACUUUUCUCAUGAUAUGUUCUCAUGCAAGAACAAUUAUUCUCCUGAUGAUUUAAAGGAAAUACAAUGCUACAUUUGCAAUAGAUUUGGCCAUCUUUGUUGUGCUGCCUUUGGUGAUACCGGCCCAAGAAAACCUUCUUGUUACAGAUGUGGUCAGUUGGGCCAUACCGGUUUGGAAUGCCAAAGGUCACAUGGUGAGCCAACUAGUGUGGGGCCACUUAGUCCUUGCUUCAAGUGUGGCGAAGGACAUUUUGCACUACAAUGCACAAGUUCAACUAAGGUUCAUGAGAGGAAUCUUGACUUGGCAACCCCAACCCAGAAAUUUCGCAAAGAUAACAUAGAGACUGUGGGAGUCAAGUCCGUGCCUUCUGAUUCUGGCAAGUCUCAGAAAAGGAAAAGGGCUCAAUAUGAAGGAGGAAGAUUUUCUACGCCAUCUAACUCAAGACGGAGUGGUGGUUGGAAUACCGAAUAUGAAGGAGGAAGAUUUUCUACGCCAUCUAACUCAAGACGAAGUGGGGGUUGGAAUACCGAAUAUGAAGGAGGAAGAUUUUCUACGCCAUCUAACUCAAGACGAAGUGGUGGUUGGAAUACCGAAUACUCUGGAGGCUUACAGCAUGGAUAUGGCCAGGUGCCUGUAUGGGGAGUAAUACCAACUUAUAAUGCCCAGGUGCCUGGAUGGGGAACUCCAGUAAUACCAACUUACAAUGGAAAUCUGAUAUAUACUCCCAUGGCUGAUGGUCAUGCUUCAAGUUCUCAUCUUCUUAGAAGGGCUCAAGAGCUACAUUUUGGACCUUUAGCUUCAAAUAUAUCGCCCAUAUUUCACCAGAACAUUUAUCCAGGAUCAACAUACGGCAACUUUAGUGGCUAUGGGAUGAGGAGUAACUAUUAUUGGUAGCAGGAACCUUUUUUUCCUUAUCACAGCAAGACCCUUAUGAGGCAGGAGCCUUGAUUAAUAGGGGAUUUGACUCAGAGGCUCUCCCUGUGGGUUCUAAACCUUGUAUCACCUUUAGCCAAAACAUAAGUUGGUGGUGUACCUUGGUAGAUGUUUAAAGCAUAUUUGAUUUUCCUGCCUGUGAAAUGGGAGUAUAAAACUACAUGUGCAAGAUGAAUUAUUCAGUCGUGAAUCGAUCCUGAUCUACCUUUGGGUUGGCUCGGACUCUCGGUCGUGGUCCUAGUGGCGGGUAAUGUUUCCUGUACUCAUAGAAAUUACUGUUGGUGUACAUUUUUUUUCUUUUUUUCCCUAGAACAGAGAAAUCAAAGUGUACAUUCUUGGUUGGGAAAUCCUAAAAGCCUGUACUUGGGAGUAUUUUUUUUGGGUACACCUUGUACUUGGAGUAUGAUCGUCUCCUGCAUUCGUCGAAUUUAGAUUGAAACAAAAAUGCUGAAUUUAGUUAUAGUUAUAAGUGUCCACCUUUCAGACCUC